rnacentral:rRNA from 1 species
CAGCAGCCGCGGGAAUACGUAGGUGGCAAGCGUUGUCCGGAAUUAUUGGGCGUAAAGGGCUCGCAGGCGGUUUCUUAAGUCUGAUGUGAAAGCCCCCGGCUCAACCGGGGAGGGUCAUUGGAAACUGGGAAACUUGAGUGCAGAAGAGGAGAGUGGAAUUCCACGUGUAGCGGUGAAAUGCGUAGAAAUGUGGAGGAACACCAGUGGCGAAGGCGACCCUCUGGUCUGUAACUGACGCUGAGGAGCGAAAGCGUGGGGAGCGAACAGGAUUAGAUACCCCUGUAGUCCCUGUCUCUUAUAC